UGAAUACGAGACGCUAAGGCGUCGAAGUAGUGUAUGUCAUACUUCCAAGAAAAGCUUGCACUGUCAUAGAUAAAAACGCCUGUACCAUAACCGACACAGGUGGGUAGGUAGAGUAUACUAAGGGGCGCGAGAUAACUCUCUCUAAGGAACUCGGCAAAAUAACUCCGUAACUUCGGGAGAAGGAGUGCCUUAUUCUUAAGGUUGCAAUAACAAGAUCCAAGCAACUGUUUAUCAAAAACACAGGUCUCCGCUAAGUCGUAAGACGAUGUAUGGGGGCUGACGCCUGCCCAGUGCCAGAAGGUUAAAGAAGCUGGUUAGCAUUUGCGAAGCUAGUAACUGAAGCCCUGGUGAACGGCGGCCGUAACAAUAACGGUCCUAAGGUAGCGAAAUUCCUUGUCGGGUAAGUUCCGACCCGCACGAAAGGCGUAAUGAUUUGGAUACUGUCUCGGAGAGGGGCUCGGUGAAAUAGACUUGUCUGUGAAGAUGCGGACUACCUGCACCAGGACAGAAAGACCCUAUGAAGCUUUACUGUAACUUGAAAUUGAAAUUGGACUUUAUUCGCGCAGUAUAGGUGGGAGGCGUUGAUUAUAAUCUUGCGGGAUUAUUGGAGCCAUUAGUGAGAUACCACUCUUGUAAUGUUAGAUUUCUAACUUUGAAUCAUUAUCUGGUCAAAGAACAGUUUCAGGCGGGCAGUUUGACUGGGGCGGUCGCCUCCUAAACGGUAACGGAGGCGUACAAAGGUUUCCUCUGAACGGUUAGAAAUCGUAUCUAGAGUGUAAAGGCAUAAGGAAGCUUGACUGUGAGACCUACAAGUCGAGCAGGGACGAAAGUCGGUCUUAGUGAUCUGACGGUACUGAGUGGAAAGGCCGUCACUCAACGGAUAAAAGUUACUCUAAGGAUAACAGGCUGAUCUCCCCCAAGAGUUCACAUCGACGGGGAGGUUUGGCACCUCGAUGUCGGCUCAUCGCAUCCUGGGGCGGUAGUACGUCCCAAGGGUUGGGCUGUUCGCCCAUGAAAGCGGUACGCGAGCUGGGUUCAGAACGUCGUGAGACAGUUCGGUCCAUAUCCGGUGUAGGCGUUAGAAUAUUGAGAGGAGCCUUCUUUAGUACGAGAGGACCGAGAAGGACAUACCUCUGGUGUACCAGUUAUCGUGCCAACGGUAAACGCUGGGUAGCUAUGUAUGGAGUGGAUAACCGCUGAAAGCAUCUAAGUGGGAAGCCCACCUCAAGAUAAGUAUUCUCAC
rnacentral:rRNA from 1 species